GGUCGUUUGGCCGAGUGGUCUAAGGCGCCGGAUUCAAGUCCCGGUCUCGAAAGAGGCACGAGUUCGAACCUCGUAGCGAUCA
rfam:Batrachochytrium dendrobatidis JEL423 supercont1.17 genomic scaffold, whole genome shotgun sequence.